rnacentral:rRNA from 1 species
AGUAACUGCGAGUGAAGCGGCAAAAGCUCAAAUUUGAAAUCUGGCAUCUUUYGGUGUCUGAGUUGUAAUUUAGAGGGGCAUUUUCAGGUUCAACACUAUUYUAAGUUCUUUGGAACAGGACAUCAUAGAGGGUGAGAAUCCCGUGCCUGGGUAGUUGUUUGAUCCUAUGUGAAGUGUCUCCGACGAGUCGAGUUGUUUGGGAAUGCAGCUCAMAAUGGGUGGUAAAUUUCAUCUAAAGCUAAAUAUUGGCGAGAGACCGAUAGCGCACAAGUAGAGUGAUCGAAAGAUGAAAAGCACUUUGAAAAGAGAGUUAAAAAGUACGUGAAAUUGUUGAAAGGGAAGCACUUGCGACCAGAAUCAAUCUUUGGAGAUCAUCCGGGCUUCGGCUUGGUGCCAUCCCUAUUGAUUGGGCCAGCAUCGGUUUUGGUGGUAGGAUAAAAGGUUGAGGGAAUGUGGCUUUCCUUUGGGAGAGUGUUAUAGCCCUUAUCAUAAUACUGCCUACUGGGACCGAGGAACGCGCUCUAAUAAAGCUAGGAUGCUGGCAUAAUGGUCUUAAGUGACCCGUCUUGAAACACGGACCAAGGAGUCUAACAUCUAUGCGAGUGUUCGGGUGGAAAACCCUUGCGCGUAAUGAAAGUAAAUGUAGGUGGGAACCUUUUUAACAGGAGGUGCACCAUCGACCAGUCCUGAUGUUUUUCGGAAGGAUCUGAGUAAGAGCAUAGCUGUUGGGACCCGAAAGAUGGUGAACUAUGCCUGAAUAGGGUGAAGCCAGAGGAAACUCUGGUGGAGGCUCGCAGCGGUUCUGACGUGCAAAUCGAUCGUCGAAUUUGGGUAUAGG